UACGUAGGGGGCAAGCGUUGUCCGGAAUCACUAGGCGUAAAGCGCAGGUAGGCGGUUUGAUAAGUCUCUUGUGAAAGCUCCCGGCUCAACUGGGAGAGGUCAAGGGAAACUGUCAGGCUAGAGUGUGGCAGAGGAAGCUAGAAUUCCCGGUGUAGCGGUGAAAUGCGUAGAUAUCGGGAGGAAUACCUAUGGCGAAAGCAGGCUUCUGGGCCGUCACUGACGCUGAUCUGCGAAAGCUAGGGGAGCAAACAGG
rnacentral:rRNA from 1 species